rnacentral:rRNA from 1 species
UAGGGAAUCUUCCGCAAUGGGCGAAAGCCUGACGGAGCAACGCCGCGUGAGUGAUGAAGGUCUUCGGAUCGUAAAACUCUGUUAUUAGGGAAGAACAAAUGUGUAAGUAACUAUGCACGUCUUGACGGUACCUAAUCAGAAAGCCACGGCUAACUACGUGCCAGCAGCCGCGGUAAUACGUAGGUGGCAAGCGUUAUCCGGAAUUAUUGGGCGUAAAGCGCGCGUAGGCGGUUUUUUAAGUCUGAUGUGAAAGCCCACGGCUCAACCGUGGAGGAUCAUUGGAGACUGGAAAGCUUGAGUGCAGAAGAGGAGAGUGGAGUUCCAUGUGUAGCGGUGAAAUGCGCAGAGAUGUGGAGGAACACCAGUGGCGAAGGCGGCUUUCUGGUCUGUAACUGACGCUGAUGUGCGAAAGCGUGGGGAUCAAACAGG